rnacentral:rRNA from 1 species
GGACUACUGGGGUAUCUAAUCCCGUUCGCUCCCCUGGCUUUCGUGUCUCAGCGUCAGCUCAGCCCCAGCGACCUGUUUUCACCUUUGGCGUUCCAGACGAUAUCUACGCAUUUCACCGCUCCACCGUCUGUUCCGGUCGCCCCUAGCUGGCUCAAGACAGGCAGUAUACCCAGCCGUUCCACGGUUGAGCCGUGGGAUUUCACAAGGUACUUGCCCGCCCGCCUACACACGCUUUAAGCCCAGUGAUUCCGCCUAACGCUUGGCACCUCUGUCUUACCGCGGCUGCUGGCAC